GGAGAUCAAGAGGAAGCUGGACCAAGCUCACAGACAGAGGUUAUUCCAGUAGAAAGUGAUUCAGACUCCACCCAACCACCAGACAGUGGAGAGUACGAGUCAUAUUAUGAGUGGGAGCCUGUAACCCCACCAACCCCACCAAGGAAAAAAGCUAGAUCUUCACAUACAGAAGUGCCAGCGGAAACC